CCAGACUCCUACGGGAGGCAGCAGUGGGGGAUAUUGCACAAUGGGGGGAACCCUGAUGCAGCGACGCCGCGUGGGUGACGAAGUAUUUCGGUAUGUAAAGCCCUAUCAGCAGGGAAGAAGAUGACAGUACCUGACUAAGAAGCCCCGGCUAACUACGUGCCAGCAGCCGCGGUAAUACGUAGGGGGCAAGCGUUAUCCGGAUUUACUGGGUGUAAAGGGAGCGUAGGUGGCAUGGCAAGCCAGAAGUGAAAACCCGGGGCUUAACCCCGCGGAUUGCUUUUGGAACUGUCAGGCUGGAGUGCAGGAGGGGCAGGCGGAAUUCCUGGUGUAGCGGUGAAAUGCGUAGAUAUCAGGAGGAACACCGGUGGCGAAGGCGGCCUGCUGGACUGUAACUGACACUGAGGCUCGAAAGCGUGGGGAGCAAACAGGAUUAGAUACCCGUGUA
rnacentral:rRNA from 1 species